UGGGACUGUCAGGAAGAAACUUUCUAGUGGGGUUUAUACCAGCUUGGAACAAUUUGAGGUUGGCAUAGGAGUUUGUGAUUAUCUCUUUAUAAGCAUCGGGAUUUGCUUUUGUUAGUUUUGUUUAGUUGCUUUAGAUGCUUAUAUUUGGAAUUUUUUUUUCAAUAAAGUUGUUAUGUGUUGCCAGCCGUCUGAGUGGAAUGGAUACUAGAUCACAUUUCCAGAAUCCAAACUUGGCA
rnacentral:misc_RNA from 1 species